AUCAGAUGGUUGAAUUACGAUUAUAAAUCACGAUAGGAUUUGAUUAUCAAUUUAAUUAAUAAUUGAUCCAAUGCAAAAGUUGCAAUUAAAUAACUCACUAAAGAGUUAGUGAGUUAUAGGAGGAUUAAUUAAUAAUUGGAUUGCUAAUUGGCUCAAUUUAAUUGAGCUAUGGGACUUGCAUCAAGUCUAAUUAAAUUAGAUUUAAUUUGACUUGAUAUGGAUUUGAUUUGAUCAAGCCUAAUUGGGUUAUGAGAUAAUCAAAUUACAUAAGAGAAUGAUUCCUUGUUGAAUUAGGAUUUAGAUUUGACUUAAUUUCUAAUUAGACUAGGAUUUAAACAAGAGUAUUUGAGUUCCUAUUUGAACUAGGAAUUCUCUUUUUUAUGGAUGCACUAAAUCCUAAUAAGAUUGGGACUAAAUUGAAUUUGACUCAAGCACCAAGAGAAAGUCUAAAAAGAUUAAGACUUAUUUUCUAAUUAGGUGACAUCUAAUCUAAAUAGUUUGGGCUCCUAAUCAAAUUUAGAUUUCUUUCUAUUUGGGUUUAAUUAAUUCUUAAUAUGAUUAAAACUGGUUAGAAUUUAAAUUAGUUUAAAUCAAUCACUUAAAAGAAGAAUCCUAAGUGGAUUAAACUCUCCCUCCAUGCGCCUUAAACCAACCCCAUGCCAACUCAUAUUUUGGACGCCAAACAUGUAAGAAUUCAGAAUUUGGUGCAUAUAUAUGUGUUUCAAAUAGUUUGGGCUACUAAUCAAAUUUAGAUUUCUAUCUAUUCGGGUCUAAUUAAUUCUUAAUAUGAUUAAAACUGGUUAGAGUUUAAAUUGGUUUAAAUCAGUCACCUAAAAGAAGAGUCCUAAGUGGAUUAAACUCUCCCUCCAUGCGCCUUAAACCAGCCCCAUGCCAACUCAUAUUUUGGAUGCCAAACAUGUAGGAAUUCAGAAUUUGGUGCAUAUAUAUGUGUUUCAAAAUUUUAUUUUCUAAAUACUACAGCAGAGAAAAAGAUUAAAAUACUUUUAAUCUGAAUUAUGCAUGCAUGAAAACAUAAAACUAUAUGGAUCUAUUUCAUAUGCUGAAAUUGAUAUAUGCUGAAAUUUAGAUUGUGAUCAAAUCACAUACCUGUUUCAUAAUUUUUUCUUCAAAUCUGAAUCUAAAAGAGAAGAGGUUCUCUCUUAGCCACACAAGUGUUCGACCUCUACGAGUAUCUACUCGAGAUUAGCAUAGAGCAGUCCUCUUUAAUCUGAAUUUUGUUCUCUAAAAAUUUAGCCUGCUGAAUCUGAACGAAGUCUGGAUCGCAAUCAACGCUUGAUUUUUUUUUUGAUCUUCUUCUUCUUCUCUUCUCUAGAAUUUCUUUUCUUAUUAUGUGCUAUUAUCAGAUGCCAGAAACCAGCAAAGAAGAGGCACCCAACAACCUUUGGGCAUGGGACUCCUUGGGACGCGCAUCCUAAGAGAAAGAGGGUGUGAGACGUCCAAGGGAAGAGAAAGGGAGAGAAAGAGAGGACGUGGGACUUCUCUUUUAACGUGUGGGGUUGCUGGUUUGGAUGCUCUAAAGACUUUAGGGGAGGUCCCUUUAAAUAGGCACAAGGAUUAAAUCCUAUUCAAUCUCAUAAUACAAGUCCUACUUGCAUUGAGUUUUCUAUUAACUCAAGUUAUCCAACUUAGUUUAGGAAACCCUUUAGGUGCCAACAAUUGGAGCCCUUGUAUCCAUAAUUAGACAUCCCAAAACACACCCAAGAGACAUCCCAUAGGAGAACUAAAAGUCCUCUAAUCAAUAGACACGCCCAACUU
rnacentral:lncRNA from 1 species